rnacentral:rRNA from 1 species
GCUUAACCGUAAACUUUAACUUACAUAUUAAUCGCCAGGGAACUACGAGCAAAGCUUAAAACCCAAAGGACUUGACGGUACCCCAUAUCCACCUAGAGGAGCCUGUCCUAUAAUCGAUAAUCCCCGUUUAACCUCACCACCUUUAGCUACUCAGCCUGUAUACCUCCGUCGUCAGCUUACCACGUGAGCGAACAUUAGUGAGCUUAAUGUCUAUACAUCAAUACGUCAGGUCAAGGUGCAGCAUAUGAGGUGAGAAGAGAUGGGCUACACUUUCUCUAUUAGAAAAUACGAAAAACUAUUUAUGAAACUUAGUUUGAAGGCGGAUUUAGAAGUAAAGAGAAACUAGAGCGUUCUCUUUAACUAGGCACUGGGGUGUGUACACACCGCCCGUCACCCUCUUCAAAGCUAACUUUAAGUUUUUAACAAAAAUAAUGCUACUAUAGAAGAGGCAAGUCGUAACAUGGUAAGUAUACCGGAAGGUGUGCUUGGAAA